rnacentral:rRNA from 1 species
UAGUCCACGCCGUAAACGAUGUCAACUAGCCGUUGGGAGCAUAUAAGCUCUGAGUGGCGCAGCUAACGCGAUAAGUUGACCGCCUGGGGAGUACGCCGGCAACGGUAAAACUCAAAUGAAUUGACGGGGGCCCGCACAAGUCGGUGGAGCAUGUGGUUUAAUUCGACGCAGCGCGAAGAACCUUACCUGGCCUUGACAUGCAGAGAACUUUCCAGAGAUGGAUUGGUGCCUUCGGGAACUCUGACACAGGUGCUGCAUGGCCGUCGUCAGCUCGUGUCGUGAGAUGUUGGGUUAAGUCCCGUAACGAGCGCAACCCCUAUCCUUGGUUGCUAGCAGGUAAUGCUGAGAACUCCAGGGAGACUGCCGGUGACAAACCGGAGGAAGGUGGGGAUGACGUCAGGUCAUCAUGGCCCUUACGGCCAGGGCUACACACGUGCUACAAUGGCGUAUACAGAGGGCUGCCAACUCGCGAGAGUGAGCCGAAUCCCUUAAAGU